CAAUUUUGGCAAAAUGUGAAUCGCGAAAAGGCGAGCAAAGACCGUGGUAAGGAUCUUCCACUUUAACUCCCGUAGCUGCUAGUUUCCACGAAGUCCCCGUAAUAAUAUCAGUCAAAGUGAGCGCAACGACGCUUUGAAGGCAGAUUUGGGGAUUCCUGUUCUCCAACAGAUGCUCUCAUAAAAAGAUUACUCUUUCGAUGCGGAUGUCCAUUCAAGCGCAGUCAUUCUACGCCAACACGGAGUUGAAAUGGUUAGAGCUUGCUCUGUCCACUGUACAACUGUAACUAUCUCACAUGUCCUUCCUGCUCUGAUCCCAGCACUAAUGAACCAAACCCCCUUGAUUGCUGAUUUUACGCUUUCUGGACCAAUUGUGGGCCUCCAUAGGCGUGGUUUUGACAGCUCCGGCCAGGCUCAAGGAGAGGGGGUGGACAAGAAGGUGUCGGAAGCAUUAGCAGUAAGAAAACAUGUCAACAGAAUAAAAUAUUAACCAAUGACAGAAAAGAUCGGGAAAUCCCACCCCCGUCUCCGAGCCAAGCACCGGGUCAGCCUUCAGUGCUUAGCCGGUGGUGACUGCACUUCGGUCGGCUUACGCUUUAUAAUUACGAUGCCUCCUUGUUCGAGGAACAAACUCACUCUUCGAUACACUGAAAACUAGGAAUUAAGAUUAUUCACGUGUAAAUUAACAAAAAGUGCAAAUUGUUAUGAUUAAUUAGCGCAAAAUAUUAUAUGCUUUUUAAAACAUAAAUUGAGGAUAACUUCACAAUAGUCAGUAAAAAUAUCAGGAACACACCAAAUGGCGUUUAUCUUUUCGCUGUUCAUGUCAAAGUGACGCGUACAAGUAUUUUGUUCAUAAUGUAGCACUGCACACUCAUAGCCAAAGGACCUUGUUGUGCGUAUGAACUGAAUUCAACGUUUCACUGUGUGAAUAACUAUUUCCGUGCUGCGUGCGUGUGUCCCGACCGACUUCAUGUGAGGAACAGCAGCCAAAAAUCGGACAUUGGUACUUUAAAUUCUGCACCGGGUCAUUCAAAGCGCACAGCCACGCGCUAUACUGAAGAAAGAGGAAGAAAGUUGUUGGAAUCUAAAGACCAAUGUAAAGAUAAUUUUGGCUGUCGCUCCGGUGAUAAGGUGGCACUGGCGGUCUGGAAGGAGACCGAGAGAAUCGAGGGCUGACCUUCCCAGAUGGAGAGUCUGAGCUCUGCCACUGUCCUCCACACCGUCAUGACUGCUUCACGUCGCCUUUGAGACACUGUGUGCAGCAUUACUGUCUAAGGGUGACUGUGUGUGUGUAUGUGUGUGCGUGUGUGUGUGUAAGGUGGAAGCGUUGAGAAGAUGCUUUAAGAUGCUGGUGAGAAUGGAAAAG